rnacentral:rRNA from 1 species
GAUGAACGCUGGCGGCGUGCCUAAUACAUGCCAGUCGAGCGAAAGGACGAGAAGCUUUCUUCUCUGAUGUUAGCGGCGGACGGGUGAUUACCACGUGGAUAACAUAACUAUAAGAAUGGGCUAACUUCGGGAAAUCAGAACUAAUACCGGAAGAUAUUUUGAACCACAAUGUUCAAACGUGAAAGACGGUCUUGGUUUAGGUUAAAGAUGAACCCGGCCUGCAUCAGCUAGUUGGCGGAGUAAAGGAUUACCAAGACAGCGACGCAUAGCCGACCCGAACGGGAGAUCGCCCACACGGGAACUGAGACACGGUCCAUACUCUUACGGGAGGCAGCAGUAGGGAAUCUUCCGCAAUGGGGGAAAGCCUGACGUAGCAACGCCGCGUGAGUGAUGAAGGUCUUCGGAUCGUAAAACUCUGUUAUUAGUGAAGAACAUAUGUGUAAGUAACUGUGCAGAUCUUGACGGUACCUAAUCAGAAAGCCACGGCUAACUACGUG